rnacentral:rRNA from 1 species
AGUGAACGCUGGCGGUAGGCCUAACACAUGCAAGUCGAACGGCAGCACAGUAAGAGCUUGCUCUUACGGGUGGCGAGUGGCGGACGGGUGAGGAAUACAUCGGAAUCUACUUUUUCGUGGGGGAUAACGUAGGGAAACUUACGCUAAUACCGCAUACGACCUACGGGUGAAAGCAGGGGAUCUUCGGACCUUGCGCGAUUGAAUGAGCCGAUGUCGGAUUAGCUAGAUGGCGGGGUAAAGGCCCACCAAGGCGACGGUCCGUAGCUGGUCUGAGAGGAUGAUCAGCCACACUGGAACUGAGACACGGUCCAGACUCCUACGGGAGGCAGCAGUGGGGAAUAUUGGACAAUGGGCGCAAGCCUGAUCCAGCCAUACCGCGUGGGUGAAGAAGGCCUUCGGGUUGUAAAGCCCUUUUGUUGGGAAAGAAAAGCAGCAGGUUAAUACCCCGCUGUUCUGACGGUACCCAAAGAAUAAGCACCGGCUAACUUCGUG